rnacentral:rRNA from 1 species
GAUGAACGCUGGCGGCGUGCCUAAUACAUGCAAGUCGAGCGAACAGACGAGGAGCUUGCUCCUCUGACGUUAGCGGCGGACGGGUGAGUAACACGUGGAUAACCUACCUAUAAGACUGGGAUAACUUCGGGAAACCGGAGCUAAUACCGGAUAAUAUAUUGAACCGCAUGGUUCAAUAGUGAAAGACGGUUUUGCUGUCACUUAUAGAUGGAUCCGCGCCGCAUUAGCUAGUUGGUAAGGUAACGGCUUACCAAGGCAACGAUGCGUAGCCGACCUGAGAGGGUGAUCGGCCACACGGGAGCUGAGACACGGUCCAGAAUCCGACGGGAGGCAGCAGGAGGGAAUCUUCCGCAAUGGGCGAAAGCCUGACGGAGCAACGCCGCGUGAGUGAUGAAGGGCUGCGGAUCGUAAAACUCUGUUAUUAGGGAAGAACAAAUGUGUAAGUAACUAUGCAAGUCUUGACGGUACCUAAGCAGAAAGCCACGGCUAACUACGU